AGCUGAAAUGACAUGGUUGCCUAUGUAAAAAUAUAUCUGACAGCAGAGCUUUCGAGUCAGCGCUUUUCUUCAUUUUCCCCGCUGCUCAAUCCAUCCAGCGGCUGUCACAGAGGGGAAGCGGACAAUCUAUCAAGGUAAGGAGGAGAAAAGAAAGAAGGAAAAAUUGGAAAGAUAAAUGGGGUCUUUCCAGUGAAGAUGUGAUGGACAGGUAGUGAUGGAUGUUCGGUACAAGAUACCCAAAAAGAAGUUGUUCAAGUAACAAGGCUCAAUUUUCCUACAUAAUUAAGAGUUUGGAAUUCGGGCAAUAUCAAGAACCACAUCUGUCCUGAAAUCAAUUAUCUCUGUUUGAAACACAAGAAAUAAGAAGACCAUUUUGAGAAGAACAGAGAGUAGCCUUAAGAAAAUCCCUGUCGCAAGCACUCUGGGAUUUGGACUCAAAUGCUAAUUAUACAGAACCACUUGGGUGCCCAGCUGCUGUCCAUUCUCUACACUUAUCCCACCUGAUGGAAGGCUGUUAAGAAAAACAUCACUGCAAUGCCUAAUAAACAGACAUGGGUCCCAGACCCAAUAAGAGUGAAACCAUCCCCCUAUUUAAAUGAAAUUAUGGCUGAUGAGAAAGACAAAUUAAUUUCUCUGUCCCUAGUAUUACACAAAACUUUGGAUGCUGCCAUUGUUACAAUUUUAUUUUCCCCAGGAGCUCAGAGUCCCACCUUCAUUCUUUUUGUUUAAUGCUUAAGCUUGCCUGUCCACCUAUGGAAGACUAGAAUGAGCAAAGACCAUGUAUUCAAUGAUCUGUAAAUCUAACAGGAAACAAUAUAAUAAAUAUAUUGUGUUUGCUAACCAAA
rnacentral:lncRNA from 1 species